rnacentral:rRNA from 1 species
UUUGAUGGCGACCGGCGCACGGGUGAGUAACACGUAUCCAACCUGCCGAUGACUCGGGGAUAGCCUUUCGAAAGAAAGAUUAAUACCCGAUGGCAUGGUUCUUCCGCAUGGUGGAACUAUUAAAGAAUUUCGGUCAUCGAUGGGGAUGCGUUCCAUUAGGUUGUUGGCGGGGUAACGGCCCACCAAGCCUUCGAUGGAUAGGGGUUCUGAGAGGAAGGUCCCCCACAUUGGAACUGAGACACGGUCCAAACUCCUACGGGAGGCAGCAUG